rnacentral:lncRNA from 1 species
AUGUUUUCCAAUUGUUAUGAUGAGAGUGGUGGAAAUGAAAUCCGCAAUGUAACUUUUCAUUUCAUCUGCAAGCAGUCCUCAAUAGUUUUAUUUUGAUUCUCUUGGGGUGAUUCUAUCAAUAGCUUAUCUACCAAUAUAUAAAUGGUUUUUUCGAGCCCUUGAGUAUGCUUAAUUUUAUUUUCAUUAGUUCAUGGGCAACAAACAGGAUACAAUUUGCUUGCCCAUGAAACAAAUGAGAAUAAAGAUAAGAAUGCUAAGGAGCUCUAGAUAACCGUUUGUAUAUUGGUAGGUUAUCGAUAAAUUAUCAUGAGAUCAUCCACACACACUUACGAGAGUGAUAGAAGUUCACUUGUAAAUUAGUAUCAUAGACGUUUUUUUUUUUGUUUUAGCAUAUUUAGCAAAAGAAAAUAUCAUUAUUUGAGUCGUUUGAUAGGUCCAUUUUGCCUUAUUUGACUUGUCCAAUUUUAGUACUCCUUGACAAUAAAUCAUAGAUCCACCACUAAUUAUAUUACUAUAACGUCUAAUCAUCUUUCUUGCAUCAUCUACGGGUGAAUGUUACUAUAGUCUAUAUAACCGUCUGUUAUUUCUUUCUACGUUUAAUCAUCUUUCUUGCGUUAUCUACGGGUGAAAGUAUCUAUACUAUUAAAAGGCAUGGAAAGCGACACAGUAUUCAUAUAUUAUGAUAUUAAUUUUCUUAAGUAUUAAUUGCACCAUGUAUAUGUCUUUAAUCUAUUUAGUUUUCAUUUAAUUUAGUUUUCCUUUAGCAACUUGUGUCCGUUAACUUAAUAAAUAAAUAUGUGUGUUAAAAACAUUUGUAUCUCGAAGUUCUGGUAUAUUUUUUAUAUAUUAAUGGUUGCUAUUGGAGACAAUAUUCUUAUAAGCACAGUGAGUUCGUUUAUUUUGUUACUUGGGCAGGGGCAAAAACGCAAAGGCUAAAAGAGUGAUGAUGUUGAAACCAUGAAACCAAACUGGAACCAAAUCACUAGUAACGAACGACUUGGUUUGGUUUCAAAUUUCAACAGUUUGGUUUUGGUUUCAAAUUUCAAUGGUUUGUUCUGGUUGACACUAAUCAAAAACUGUUACUAACGGUUUACAAUUUUGAUCUCAAAACUGUGAAAACCGGACCGUGAACACUCCUAUUAAUGAUGAUACCUGUAAAGCAUGAAUUGUCUACUUGAAUAUGCUUAUAAAUGAACAAUUGGACGUCUGUUGAAUUAAACCGCGUACUUACCGAAGGCCUUUUAUCAUGAAACGACUGUAUUGGCCGAUAUUCAUAUUAUUAGUUGAUAACCGGUGCCCAAAUGGUUUCAAGUGUGACAUUAAUUAUCAAGCAUCAACGUUUGCACCAGGUGAUCUUAUAAAGGUUCAAAGAGCAGUUUGCAUGAUCAGCAACAACAGAGCAGUUGCCAAGGUGUUGCAAAAAAGAUAUCACAUUUUGUAAUUGUUGUUGCGAUGUAUAUGUGCAACUAUCAAGACCUUGAUACUCUAGAGGAUGAGGUCAUUGUCAUAGAGUACGAGAGCAUGCACCCUAUUCUUUAAUGGAGUUGAAGGACCCUGACCUGACCUGACCCAACCCAACGCACAUUUAACCCGAGUUUUUUCCUGAAGACGACAUGAAGUCAUUGAUCGAAUGGAGUAUGUUCUAACCACUUCGAAUGUAGGUCGCGAUGGGAAGCGAGAAUGAUGAUUGCGGCUCUAUUUUGGGGAUUUUAGGCGUCGCUGAUUAAGUACUUCGCUGAAUUGGGAUGGAGUCGAAUGAUGAAUGGUUGAUGGUUGUUGCAGCCUGCAGACCUGCAGUUAUGUCUUUAGUUUAACUCGAAAAUGGGCAUUGAAUGUGGGAUACACUAUUUUUAU